GACGAACGCUGGCGGCGUGCUUAACACAUGCAAGUCGAGCGGUAAGGCCCUUUCGGGGGUACACGAGCGGCGAACGGGUGAGUAACACGUGGGUGACCUGCCCUCAGCUCUGGGGUAAGCCUGGGAAACCGGGUCUAAUACCGGAUAUGACUCCAUGACGCAUGUUGUGGGUGGAAAGCCUUGUGCGGCUGGGGAUGGGCCCGCGGCCUAUCAGCUUGUUGGUGGGGUGAUGGCCUACCAAGGCGA
rnacentral:rRNA from 1 species